GCGUAGGCGAGAUGGCUUAGUUGUUUAAAGCGCCUGUAUAGUAAAUAGGAGUUUAUGAGUUCGAAUCUCCUCUGUGCA